rnacentral:rRNA from 1 species
GACGAACGCUGGCGGCGUGCUUAACACAUGCAAGUCGAACGGAAAGGCCUUGUUUUUGUGGCAUGCUCGAGUGGCGCAAGGGUGAGUAACACGUGAGUAACCUGCCCCUGUCUUUGGGGUACCUUCAGGGAAAUCGGAUUCAUACAGGAUAGGAGCUCCUUCUGCAUAGUGGGGGUGGGUAAGUUUCGGCGGUUGGGGAUGGACUCGCGGCCUAUCAGCUUGUUGGUGGGGUAGUGGCUUACCAAGGCUUGGGCGGGUAGCCGGCUUGAGAGGGUGACCGGCCACAAAGGCACUGAGAUACGGCCCAGACGGCUACGGGAGGCAGCAGUGGGGGAUAGUGCAAGAUGGGCGGAAGGAUGAUGGAGGAACGCCGGGUGCGGGAUGACGGCCGGCAGGUGGGAAACCGCUUUCGCCUGGGACGAAGCGUGAGUGACGGUAAUGGGUAAAGAAGCACCGGCUAACUACGUG